ensembl:lncRNA
GAGGAGUUGAAGCGCACAGCUUCUGUCUGAACGAUAUAAAGCCUGAGCUUUCUCCCAGAACUAUGCCAGCCUACCAUUCCCACAUGACCUGUGGUCUCCCACUGGCUUGUGGGUUCCUUCUUGGGGAGCCUCCUCUGAUCUGUAUUUCACGGUGCAUCACCAGAGGGCAUGCGGAUACCCACCAGCUUCCUCCCGGCGGCCUUAAGUGAGCAUUGUGUAGCUUGGGUGAGCAGCGUCUCCUCCCCACCACAACACAAGCUCCAGGCAGGCAGGAGUCACUUCCACCGUCUCCUCCACACGCACGGUGAAUCUCGGCUGAACUGAGCCGAAGUCCAGAGGCACGGACGCUGUGGACGCUGUGGACGCUGUGGACGGCCACCCGAAGCCUGCUCCGCAGGACUGUUGGUCCUUGCUGGCUCCUGGCUAAGCUCCUCUCUGGGGAGACUUAACCAAAGGGGCUUACCUCACUUCUUGGGAGGACUCCAGGGACUCCACGUGUGAGUUGGGGAUACAGACCCACUUUCCCAGGGGCCGCCGCCUAAUAUAGUUGCUGUCAGGAGGGGCCUGAGGAAGUGGUUGGUAACCUGAGAGUUUGAAGCUGAGUCAAACUGGCCAGUUGAACUGAAAUGGUCACAGUUUUCACAGGAGGGAGAGCCGAGCACCUGAUGCCCUGUGAGAAAUCACCCCAGCGCUGGAGGGAUGGGAGUCCAGCAGGGGGCGCUAUCUGCAGUACUUGAAAGGCACCCCCUUAUCCCUUGGUGGUUGUGGGGUUGCCAGGACGGUGGAUAAAGACCGUGAAGCCCGGGGCUGAGAGUCAGAGGACCUCCUUGGCAGGCUGUAAAGAAACUAAAACUCUGUCUCUUGAAGCCAAAGGUCAGAAAUAGCCGAGGCUCCGGUUCAAAAAUCAUUUUAAGGGCUCCAGAGAAGGUUUGUUUCUCAACUCCAGGAAAUCUGGUGUGCCAAGAGGAAGUAUCCGAUUCGGGAUGGAAUGGGACUGAGAUAUUGAAGACGAAGACAUCUGGAUUGAAGUGGUCAAAUAUCGAAAAUCCUGGAUCCCCCCGGAAUCUUCUGGUCUUACAGAAGUGGCCCACUCCUCCCUGCCAAGGGCUAGCAUUUCCCCUUUUCUCGAAGACGACACAGAGGUCACUGCAUGAAAGACAACACACACCUUUCUCAGGGUCUUCCCCCAUUAUCCCCCUGCUGGAGCCAGACCACUCACUAGGGUCAAGUCACAACAUCUCCGGUCUGGGCCCGCUAAGGGAGGAAGGGGCUAGACCCCACAGGAACGGCAGGACCCAGCAGAGCCUGGAGACCGCACGUGGGACUCAUCCCCGCAUGCCCUCUGCAGGGGACGGGAUGCAGAGCUGGAUGAGGACUUGGACCCCACUGACUGAUGGAAAGCCCCGAUUCCCAUCACUGCCACUGUAUACGGUUGCAGUCCUGAGCGGUCUUUCUCCAGACGGACCAAAGUUCACUCAUCCAGGACCCGCAAUGCCUGGUAGCCUCUUUGGAUUCUGGAGCCAGCACGAGCUGCGCACAGGAAUAAUGCCUGAAUACCUUUGCCGACAAAGGUCCAUCUAGUCAAAGCUAUGGUUUUUCCUGUAGUCAUGGAUGGAAAUGAGACUUGGACCAUAAAGAAGACUGAUUGCUGAAGAUUCGAUGCUUUUGAAUUGUGGUGCUCGAGAAGAACUCUUCAGAGUCUCCUGACAGCAAGGAGAUCAAACGAGUCAGCACUAAAGGAAAUCGACCCUGAGUAUUCAUUGGGAGGACUGACGCCAAAACUCCAAUACUUUGGCCACCUGAUGCAAAGGGCCGACUCAUUGAAAAAGACCCUGAUGCUGGGAAAGAUUGAAGGCAGGAGGAUAAUAGGGUGACAGAGGAUGAGAUGAUUGGAAGGCAUCACCAACUUAAUGGACAUGAACUUGGACAAACUGGGAGUUAGUGAAGGACAGGGGAAGCUGCAGUCCUUGGGGUCACAAAGAGCUGGACACGACUAAGCAACCACAACAACAGAAGCAGCAUUUACCCAGUGGCUCUGGGAAGUCCCAGCACAGCUCUGAGUGGGUCCCAGAACCGGAAAAUUCUACCAGAUGCAGGCUGUGGUACAACCAUCCCUACCACUUACGCCAUGCAAUCUGGAAGGUGCUAUGGUUAUAGAGGUAUGCUGGGAAAAGAAGCCGCGUUCCUUUAAAGCACUCAGUUCAGUUCAGUCGCUCACUCAUGUCCGACUCUUUGCGACCCCAUGGACUGCAGCACGCCAGGCUUCCUGGUCCUUCAGCAACUCCCGGAGUCCACUCAAAGCCAUGUCCAUCGCAUCGGUGAUGCCAUCCAACCAUCUCAUCCUCUGUCGUCCCCUUCUCCUCCCGCCUUCAAUCUUUCCCAGCAUCAGGCUCUUUUCCAGUGAGUCAGCUCUUCGCUUCAGGUGGCCAAGGUAUUGGAGCUUCAGCUUCAGCAUCAGUCCUUCCAAUGAAUAUUCAGGACUGGUUUCCUCUGGGAUGGACUAAGUCUGUGGUAAUAUUAUGACAAGCCCCUGAAGGAGAAUCACAGAAGCCUAGGGUCCUGGAGCAUGGCCACAGGCUACCUGCAGCCAAAACCAACGGCUGCCGGCGUGCCUCUGUGCCCCAGCAGAGAUGGAGCACCUGACCUCGAAAUGCCAAGCGGUCACCAUGCCACCAGACCCUGCAAGUCAGAUGGUCAGGCACAGCCAACAGCAACCCCUGGAAGAAGGAAGUGGUACCUCAGGAGAGGGCACAAGCAAGGCCAGAGGACAGAAGCAAACCACAUAAAGGACUUCCCUGGCCAUCCAGUUGUUAAGAAUCUGCCUUGCAAUACAGGGACUCGAGUUCAAUCCCUGAUCAGGGAACAAAGCUGCAGGGCAAGUGAGCUUGUGUGACGCAACUACUGAGCCCGCAUUCCACAACUGAAAGUCCCUGUGCCCCCAAAAAUGAUCCUCCAUGAUGCAACUAAGACGUGACAUGGAUAAACAAACAAAAAAUAUUUUUUUAAAAGUAAACCACCUAAACCCAGACCCUCACAUCACCCACCGCCCUUGUCCCCAUUGCCAUACCUCAACUCCGCUUAUUGCCGUGUUGGGUUGGGGUGGCUCCGUCCACAGAGGAGGAUGGGAGCUGCGUUUCCCACAGGAGCGGGUUGGCAGAAGGUGCCUGAGAACAGCAGCUGCCACACUCCAGCCUCUCUCAGCUGUCUCUGAAAGGCAGAGGCGAAAGGAAGUCAUCCCAGUCUCCCAGAUAGGAGACGCUUGAUGCAUUUGCUCACUGUUGCUGCCGUGACAAAUUUCCACAAACGUUAAAGCAAUGUAAGUUUAGCAUCAUACAAUCCUGGAGGUUAAAAAUCCCAAACGGGUCUCGCUGGGCUAAAAUCCAGGUGCUGUGAGGGCUGUGUUCUUUCUGGAGACUUGGGGAGAAUCCACUUCCCUGACUUUUCCAGCUCCUGGAAGCCACCUGGGCUUGUUGGCUAGUGACUCCUUUCCAGCCGCCACGUCAUUCAGCCUCUGCUUCCGUCGUCGCGCCUUCUCUGACUUUGACUCUCCUAUCUCCGCGUCUAACUUUUAAGGACACUUGUGAUUAAGUUGGUGCUUCCCAGGUGGCUUGGUGGUAAAGACUCUGCCUGCCAAUGCAAGCGAUGCUGCAUUGAUCCCUGGUUCGAU